AGUGAACGCUGGCGGUAGGCCUAACACAUGCAAGUCGAACGGCAGCACAGUAAGAGCUUGCUCUUACGGGUGCGAGUGGCGGACGGGUGAGGAAUACAUCGGAAUCUACUUUUUCGUGGGGGAUAACGUAGGGAAACUUACGCUAAUACCGCAUAUGACCUACGGGUGAAAGCAGGGGAUCUUCGGACCUUUCGCGAUUGAAUGAGCCGAUGUCGGAUUAGCUAGUUGGCGGGGUAAAGGCCCACCAAGGCGACGAACCGUAGCUGGUCUGAGAGGAUGAUCAGCCACACUGGAACUGAGACACGGUCCAGACUCCUACGGGAGGCAGCAGUGGGGAAUAUUGGACAAUGGGCGAAAGCCUGAUCCAGCCAUACCGCGUGGGUGAAGAAGGCCUUCGGGUUGUAAAGCCCUUUUGUUGGGAAAGAAAAGCAGCAGGUUAAUACACGGCUGUUCUGACGGUACCCAAAGAAUAAGCACCGGCUAACUUCGUG
rnacentral:rRNA from 1 species